GUUUCGCAUUACGUUGUUUUUAAUUUUUGGCUUUCGUUCGUUUUCGUAAUAAAUAAUCAUUCUCGCGAUUUCUCGUAACAGGUUCCAUUUUUAUUUUCAAGAAACCAACAGGUUUCGUAAAAAAAUACUCAUCUUUAGUAGGAAACAGCCUCAAAAAUAUCGUUUUUUAUUAAAAUAUCUCGAACAAUAAACAUAACCUAAAAUGUAGACAUUGUCUGAUUUUACCAAUUUGGCCAUUGCUGGGAGACCUGAAAAUUGGGCUCAUGAAACCUUCUUAGAAUCUACUGCUGAAUUAGAAACGCGACCCACUAAGAAGAUCCGUCCAGAAACUCAGUGGAUUGUGUGUCAGUGUCUGAGGGUUAAUUUGCUUACUGAAUCCUUCGAAAAGAAUGGCAACUGGUUCUUGAGGAUCACGUACGGUCAGGGGUAGCAACACGGUGCUGUUUUCUGUACGAUCGUAGAAGUGGUAGGAGGAGCCGAGGAUAUGCAGAAGUGGCACAGAAAAAUCCAGGAGAAACUUAUUCGAAGAGGCCACGACGCUCAGCGUUGAAGAUUAUCGACGCAAGGAAGAAGAGUAGUGCCCACAGAUAUCCACCGCUGGACUGCCUCCCCCAAGCCUAGCCACAACGACCGGUCCUGCGCUGCCGACGUCCAGCGGAUUCCCGCAACCUUCAACAGGUUGUCGGUUCACAUUGUGGGAGGCCUACCCACGCUACGUCUUCCAGUACGUGGUCGCCGCUCGAGAUUUCUCGGCCUCAGCAACAAUCUGUUUACGCGCAACGUGUCCUCUGCCCACAGCUACGUCAACCUCGCAAUUAUUUGGACUAUGUCGGUCACCAUGGUUUGCCUACGGAUAUCCUCGAAACUCCGAGCAUAUGCCUCUCCAUUGGUCUUCGGAUGACCUUGAGUCUUCUAUAAGGCCCAUUAUGAGCGAUCAAAUCUCAGUGCCAUAUCCCAUCAAUGACCCCACACAUUGGUCAAAGACUGUCGUCUUGAAAUACUAGUAUUUGUGAUGAGAACAUUCUAGAUAGCUUUCCGAACUCUCGCCAUCCGUAUUAUUUCAAGAUUAAAAAAUAAAGUUGUACUUCUUAAAA